AUCAACUUUCGAUGGUAGGAUAGAGGCCUACCAUGGUGGUGACGGGUGACGGAGAAUUAGGGUUCGAUUCCGGAGAGGGAGCCUGAGAAACGGCUACCACAUCCAAGGAUGGCAGCAGGCGCGCAAAUUACCCAAUCCCGACACGGGGAGGUAGUGACAAUAAAUAACAAUACGGGGUUCUUUCGGAUCUCGUAAUUGGAAUGAGUACAAUUUAAAUCUCUUAACGAGGAACAAUUGGAGGGCAAGUCUGGUGCCAGCAGCCGCGGUAAUUCCAGCUCCAAUAGCGUAUAUUAAAGUUGUUGCAGUUAAAAAGCUCGUAGUUGAAUUUCGGGGUUAGUAGGUUGGUCAUGCCUCUGGUAUGUACUGGUCUCACUGAUUCCUCCUUCCUGAUGAACCGUAAUGCCAUUAGUUUGGUGUUGCGGGGAGUUUGGACUGUUACUUUGAAAAAAUUUAGAGUGUUUAAAGCAAGCUAACGCUUGAAUACAUUAGCAUGGAAUAAUGAAAUAGGACGUUCGAUCCUAUUUUGUUGGUUUCUAGGAUUGACGUAAUGAUUAAUAGGGAUAGUUGGGGGCAUUAGUAUUCAAUUGUCAGAGGUGAAAUUCUUGGAUUUAUUGAAGACUAACUACUGCGAAAGCAUUUGCCAAGGAUGUUUUCAUUAAUCAAGAACGAAAGUUAGGGGAUCGAAGACGAUCAGAUACCGUCCUAGUCUCAACCAUAAACGAUGCCGACCAGGGAUCAGCGGAUGUUGCUUUUAGGACUCCGCUG
rnacentral:rRNA from 1 species